CUCGUUAUCACGUUCGCAAUUC
rnacentral:miRNA from 12 species